UGGAUGUGCACAUUACCGCCGAAGAUGCCGAAUUCGGGCUCCUUGCUGCAAUGAGGUUUUCGAUUGCCGGCAUUGCCAUAAUGAGGUGAAGAAUUCGAUUGAUGUUGAGACGAACCACAGGCAUGAGAUAUCACGGCAGGAAGUGCAACAGGUGAUAUGCUCGCUGUGUGGCACCGAACAAGAGGUCCGACAAGUUUGCAUCAACUGCGGUGUAUGUAUGGGGAAAUACUUUUGCGAGACUUGCAAUUUUUUUGAUGAUGAUACCUUGAAGAAACAGUUCCACUGCAGUGGUUGCGGAAUUUGCAGAAUUGGCGGCCGCGAGAAUUUCUUUCAUUGCUACAAGUGUCGUUGCUGUUACUCAAAUCAUGUAAAGAACAGCCAUCCUUGUAUUGAAGGAGCAAUGCAUCAUGAUUGCCCUGUUUGCUUUGAGUAUCUGUUUGAUUCAACAAAUGUUGUGAGUGUCCUAUCAUGUGGCCACACUUUACAUGUACAUUGUUUGAAGGAAAUGCAACAACACUUCCAGUUUGCAUGCCCUCUUUGCUCGAGGUCUGUUUGUGAUAUGUCGAAAGUGUGGGAAAAACUGGACAUUGAGGUUGCUGCUACACCAAUGCCCG
rnacentral:misc_RNA from 1 species